rnacentral:rRNA from 1 species
GACAGAGGGUGCAAACGUUGUUCGGAAUUACUGGGCGUAAAGCGUGCGCAGGCGGUUUUGUAAGCCAGAUGUGAAAUCCCCGGGCUUAACCUGGGAAUGGCAUUUGGGACUGCAAGGCUUGAGUGCGGCAGAGGAGACUGGAAUUCCUGGUGUAGCAGUGAAAUGCGUAGAUAUCAGGAGGAAUACCGAUGGCGAAGGCAGGUCUCUGGGCUGACACUGACGCUCAUGCACGAAAGCGUGGGGAGCAAACAGG